rnacentral:rRNA from 1 species
UGGGGAAUAUUGGACAAUGGGCGAAAGCCUGAUCCAGCAAUGCCGCGUGAGUGAUGAAGGCCUUAGGGUUGUAAAGCUCUUUUACCAGGGAUGAUAAUGACAGUACCUGGAGAAUAAGCUCCGGCUAACUCCGUGCCAGCAGCCGCGGUAAUACGGAGGGAGCUAGCGUUGUUCGGAAUUACUGGGCGUAAAGCGUACGUAGGCGGUGACUCAAGUCAGAGGUGAAAGCCUGGAGCUCAACUCCAGAACUGCCUUUGAAACUAGGUCGCUAGAAUCACGGAGAGGUGAGUGGAAUUCCGAGUGUAGAGGUGAAAUUCGUAGAUAUUCGGAAGAACACCAGUGGCGAAGGCGGCUCACUGGACGUGUAUUGACGCUGAGGUACGAAAGCGUGGGGAGCAAACAGGAUUAGAUACCCGGGUAGUCCCUGAGCGGGCUGGCAAGGCG